CUUACAGGUUGGUGGCAUGAGUCCAUAGCUGCUUGUGCAUUUAAGUUUCCUGGUUUCCUCUGUAAACAAAAAGACCAAAGGUCCAGGUGUAUUUUUCAUUCAUCUGGCUGCCAACCUGCACCACUGACCUCUUCAACCAACACCCACAACCCAUGUUCAGAGUGUGUCAAGUGUCUUGCCUAAAGACACAACAACCUCCACUGCUGCCUCACUGAAUACUCACCAGGUCCAGUCGUGCUUUUCUCCUGAGUUGAGACAGGAUCAGGCUUUGACAUGGACGUUUUGUUGGGACAUUCUAGCG